UACAGAGGGUGCGAGCGUUGUCCGGAAUCACUGGGCGUAAAGGGCGCGUAGGCGGCCUGAUAAGUAGGGGGUGAAAUCCUGCGGCUUAACUGCAGGGCUGCCUCCUAGACUGUUAGGCUCGAGCACGGUAGAGGCAGAUGGAAUUCCCGGUGUAGCGGUGGAAUGCGUAGAGAUCGGGAAGAACAUCGGUGGCGAAGGCGGUCUGCUGGGCCGACACUGACACUGAGGAGCGAAAAGCGUGGGGAGCGAACAGG
rnacentral:rRNA from 1 species